AUAAUUUUUUAUUAAAUUCGUGCACAGUAUUUUGGAUCCAACCCUACUAAGAUUUGAUAUAGUGAUGAGUUGCCGAAUGUCGAGGAUGCAGUGAGGAUUCUUCAAGGGGCAGAAGUCGUCGCCGCCACGUUUCCAUGGAGAAGUUGUUGUCAUCAUCGUGCGAAACAUGUUUGGCUUGCGCACGCUAGCCACCGUUCUUUCUGUUCCUCUACCAAAACCCUAAUCGAGGUCACAGUCGGAGCAUACACAAACAGAAGCCAUCCAUGGACGGUGAUUCCUCUAGGAGUUCCAGGCGCUACCAAUCUACUCUUCGAUCUCGACCAGGUCCAUACACGGAAAUGGAAGAAAACGGAGCUGUUUGGUUUGCCAUUUUGGUUGCCCAAAGAAACGUCACGGAUGAUUCUUCUUCUUACACUAGUAUAUGACUAUAUCUCCCCCAUGUGCAUUGUAAUGUUUUAACACUGCCAAGUCCACGUUAAGAACUGAACCCUUUUUCCACAAACACUGUUCGAGACAGAAUGGAUGCUCUAACUGUUCUAAAUGUGAAAAUGAGACACAAAGGCAACUCAAAAUGUCGGAUGAGAGUGACAUAUAUGAUAUGAGAGAUUCUUACAUGAUUUUAUAAAUGAGAUUUUAUAAAUAAGUCACUGACUCA